rnacentral:lncRNA from 1 species
GUCAUGAGAAAUAUUUUACGAUCUUCUUUGAUACAGACAAUUGCAGGAAGACUUUGCCAAUGUGUGAAUCUCAUCAGUAGAGACCUGGGAAACAUCACCGGCAUGCGCUCCUCCUCAGAAACACCGCGCAUGUGCGUAUUUGAUCGAAUUCAAAUGACCUCUUGGCUGAUUGGGCAGAAGAUUCGUCAGUUAUGUUCCCUCUGACAGUCGAGAACAACUGUUCCAUUGACAAUGGGCUUGGUUGGACCACCCACAUCAGCACAGAGGAUGCGAUGUCACUCAACUUCUGCCUCCUUCACUGAGACAUUCUCCAUUGAAGCCUGAGUCACUGUGCAAAAGCUUGACUUCCCAGGGGUUACAAAGAUAUAAGGAAGACCUUGUCACAUGACGAAGACAGGACCAGGCACUGCAAUUGAUGGUCUUAGCUAUUCGUGGAGUUUGGAAUAUUCUAGCCCAGGAAUCAAGCAUGAAAAGAAUAAAUCAUUCUAUUUCAUAAAGAAAGGAGAUGAGAAUGAAUGAAAAGUUACAUAUCCAAAGGUUAACCCAAUUAUUUCAAGAGACAAAUGGAAGAUUCUACAAUGUCAUAGUUAUUACAAAAUAUAUGUGUGUGCCUGAGUGUGUACCAUGUUCAUGAAGGAGCCUGAGGAGGUCUGAGGAAGCACUGGAUGCCCGAGAACUGAAGCUACAGAUGGCUGUGACCCACCAUGUCAGUGCUGGAGCCAAACGAACCCAGGGAAUUCAGUGAGCCUGGUCUCCCGAGAGCUUCCUGCCAGUGAAAACUGCCCCAAUCAAGACGGAAUCAGAAGAAACAGCCACACCGUUGAGCUGCACACCAGAUGGGAGGCAUUAUUUCAAACAGAUU